UUUUUUAAUUUUGAGAUUGACUUGCUGCUUCCGAUUGGAUCAAUCGCAAGCAGCUCUUGAGUUUCCCCCGUUUCCGAGCAAGAUGGACACGAGCAACGAACCCGUACCCGUACUCCAGUACUGUAAUUAAAGAGUCAAAAUAUCAAUGUACUACUUGUCCCGAGACUCUACCACUCUAUCGUGUCUUUUGAUACUUGAACGCGAUGUGAAAAACAUAAAUUUUAUAAUCAUAGUGAAAGGUGGACUCAAAUCUUAGCUGUCCAAAUAUUCUAGACGGUUGUUUUUUUCGACGGCUGUUAUUUACAGACUCAGGGGCAAUCCAAAUCCUUUACUCAUUGAUCUGAAUAUGGCCAUUAUGUGUGGAUUCAAAGAGCCAAUUUUCCAUGGGCCUCGUUCUUUGGAAUUUGCUGCGCAUCAUGUUAUUUGCAAGAAUCAAGCUCCGUCAAGAUCCCAUACACAUACGUGGCUGAAAAACUCAUAUGUAUCAAUCAGAUUCAGGAUUCUGAGAUGUUCAAUGGAUAGAUUUUGUUUCUUUAUAACAUCUUCCGUUAAUAGGUUCUGGACUGAUUAACGAUGUACCACCUGAACAAAAGAAAGACUUUUUCUCCUUACGUAUAUCUAAAUUAAAGUGGGAUACGUUAAGAAAAAAAGUUGACAUUACCCAUUUAUCAAAUUUAAUGUAUAUGAUAGUAUUCAACAGGGUUAAGAAUACAAUUUGUUUUAUAUCGCUCCGGAUGGACAAUUUUGAUGUAGAAUGAAGCAGAGAACAAUUGAUAUAUGGGAAAAAGAUUCUCAAUCAAUAGGAACUCAUGUAUUUUGUAGAUAUGCUGGGAGUAUGUAGCUGGAAUUGAACCUUGUUUAGAUUCACAAGAUUGGCGAAUAAUAUACACCAAUAUCUUGUGAAUCUAAACAAGGUCCAUGAUAUAUACGCUGUAUAUCUUACGGACCAAGUGAUUAAUAGGACAUUGUAAAAAAUGCCUGGGCAGUUUGAAAAAUGCUCAAUAUGAAAGAGCAACGUAAUAAUAAAUAUUGAAAUAAUCAAAUUGUCCGGGCAUUAUUUAUAAUGUUUAUCACCUACAGAGCAGAUUAAUAAAAACCAGGUUUUAUUACUGUUAUUUUUAUUUUUUAAACUUCGACUUAAACUUAAAACUAAACAAAAACAAAAGAUCCGAUUGACGUUCGCUCAUAACCGUCGCGGGCUGUGAUUGGUGAGUGUGUAUCACGCGUAAAGACUGGACAUUAUGAGAAAUGUCUCAAUUUAUUACUCGGUCCAUAACAUAUAUAUGUGUCAUUCCCUAUACAUUCAACGACGUUGCGACGGUGACCCCUUCGAUUUUUUUGAUUUUUUAAUAUGUUUCUAUACAUUUAAAAAGAAGUCUUUAGUUAAAUUUUUAGCUCGUUAUCUACACCCAUUCCAGAAUUAUCGAUUUCUGCUUAAAAAAUGUAUAUCUUUGACUAUAAUUAUGAUAAUGUCACUUAAUACGGAUCAUUUUUUUUUAAUUUUUAACGCUCUUUCUAACUAAAAAUUAAAAAACGGAAAAAUAAUUUGUUUUUAUGCUUUUUCGGCUAUUUUUAGUCAAAAAGUGGAUUUUUCGUUCAAUGGAAUACUUGAUUUUUUUCAAAAAAAUUUACAAAAUUCUACUUUGAAAAACAAAAUUUUUGAGCUGCAUUGCAAGAUGGGCUUCAAAUAACUUCUAGUAAAAAAAAAUUAAAAAACAUUUUUUCUGUUUUUUCGAGUUGUUUUUCUUCUAAGAUCACACAAUACCUUCAAUCAGUCUCAAAAUACAUAACUUUGCUCUUAAAUUUUACAUCUUACUUAAUUCACUGUCAUUACAGACUUUCGUUUUUUUCUUAUUAUUUUGAAUACUAUGCGCUUUUAUUUCCGUUGAUCUAAAAAAUCUUUUUAAACUAAUUGCGUUAUCAGUAUUCGGUGUGGCAGGAUAAAUUUGUAGUGUGUUGGAUAUGGAUUUAGCACUCGUAAAAGAAUUCAACCAUUUGUUUCAAUUGAUUGAUACUCAGUUUUAGACGAAAAUUUAACUUCAAUUUAGGAAUUACGUGAUCUUAGAAGAAAAACAAAUCAAAAUGACAGAAAAAAAAUAAGUUUACAAAUUUUUUUGACCAGAAACAAUUUAAAGCUCAUUUUGCAAUACAGCUGAAAAAUUCUGUUUUUUAACGAAGAAUUUUGUGACUUUUUUUGAAAAAAAUCGAAAGUGUCCCAUUGAACAUAAAACCAAUUUUUUGACUAAAAGUUGCCGAAAAAGCUUAAAAAAAAUGAUUAUUCCGUUUUUUAAUUUUUAUUUAGAAAAAGCGUUAAAAUUUUUUUUAAAUGACUCGUAUUAUGUGAAAUUAUCAUAAUUAUAGUCAGAGAUAUACAUUUUUUAAGCAAAAAUCGAUAACUCCGGAAUGUGUGGAGAUGACGAGCUAAAAAUUUAUCUGAAGACUUCUUUUUACAUGUAUAAAAACAUUUAAAAAUCAAAAAAUCGAAGAGGGUCACCGUCGCAACGUCGUUGAAUUGACAUGCAAUGACCGAUAUACAGAUUAUUUGAAAUCCUAUUAUUUUAAAGGUAAACCCUACAACAGUGUUAACAAUGACUUCAACAAUCUUGUUAACACACUAUUUUAAUAAUACAUUACGUACUCAAUUUCUGGAGAAUAAAGAGCAUGUUUUUCUCAUGAGGGAAACGUUCAUUUAAUAAACCCUCAAAACGAAGAAAUCUUUCAAGAUACGCGUUCUUGUAGGAUAAGGCAUAUGAGACACCUUAACUUUUAUGAUAAAUUACAGAUUACGUUAUAAAUACGUUGGACAAUCAUCGAUACCAAAAUUCAAAUUGACCUAACUCAUAGUAAAAAUAACGGGAUUUUUUCCUUCGGGCGCUAAAAAAGGAUAUAACCUAAAUCAUAAAUUUUUGAAUUCAACGGUGGAUGGAAUAUUCGACUCACAAAAACGGAUUUCAGGAGAAAUGUGAUUCUAUAUCACGAACAACUGGCUGAAAGACAACGUGGUGUGGAUUUUGGUGUACAUAAAGAAAAAUAUCGUUUAAACCGUGUAUAGAAAAUGCCUCCUCGAAACCGUGUACCAACAGAGGAUGCCAUCAACUUGAUCAUCAAAUAUAUUGAACACUUUCGAACUGAUCAAUUUCCUGCUAGGUCCAGUGAUAUUUGGAAACAAAUGUCUAGAGACAUAAAUGGAAAAUGGAAUGCGGAAUCUGUGUAAACGAACGUUCGUAACGACAGAAGAAACAUUUUGACGGAAGCUAGGAAAAAAAUGAAUAUUACUAUUCAGAUAAAUGCUAAGCAGAGCAAUUAUUUCCGUUCAUCCGCAGAAUCUGAAAGUUUCGACAUAAAAGAAGAAUGGGUAGCCAUAAAACCAAACGAUGAAAAAUCCAUCGUGCAAGCUUCACCUAAAGACGUGAAACCCGCGUUAAAACCAAGGGUAUGGACAAAUAUAAUUGCAGAGGCAUUCUGACUCCAAUAUCGAAUGCCCUGUGCUUUUGUAUUCAAAAGAGCUGAUGUUACUUUAUCGCCAUUCGGCGAUUCAUAUAACAUUAAAAUACGUGGGAAAUGCAAAUGUCCAUCAUGCAGAAAUGAUUUUCAUGGGUAUGCCGAAAAAAAGUUGAGCGAGAAAGGGAUAACAAUUCAAGUAAAAACACGAGACACGCGUAUGAAUCCACAUAAGAUGACAAAACGCCCGCUGAAUGGACAGCGUCGUAAAAAAGUGAAAAAAGAAUUGAAAAAUGAAAGCUCUUCAGUAUGGAGGAAACGUUACGCGAGAGAAAAUAUGCGUGUUGGCGAGACGAAGCCUUCACAGUUACCUACUGAAAAUGUUGUACGUCAAGCGAGGAAAGAAGCGAUUGAUGAUCAAUACGGCAUAAAAAAGUCUGAUGGACAAGACAUCAUUAAGACAAUUAAAAACAUCACACAAACUCCAGAAUACUAUGGCUUUAUUCGCGAUCUUGCACUUGAUCCGUUCUUCGUGUUCUACAGGACACCUGCUCAACUACACGCAUAUCAAGAGACUCGGUAGAGUCUCGGGACAAGUGCAUUGACAGCCCUGUCGUCUGCUGGCCUGAGGCUCUCGCCGACGAGACUAUUUUUCUCUGAAUAAAACGAUUC